rnacentral:rRNA from 1 species
ACGAACGCUGGCGGCGUGCCUAAUACAUGCAAGUCGAACGGUCUUUCUAUGGAAGCUUGCUUCCACUGAGAAGAUAGUGGCGAACGGGUGAGUAACACGUGGGUAACCUGCCCAUAAGAGGGGGAUAACAUCCGGAAACGGGUGCUAAUACCGCAUAGUUUUCUUGAUCGCAUGAUCGGGAAAGGAAAGACGGCCUUUGUGCUGUCGCUUAUGGAUGGACCCGCGGCGUAUUAGUUAGUUGGUGAGGUAAUGGCUCACCAAGACGAUGAUACGUAGCCGACCUGAGAGGGUGAUCGGCCACAUUGGGACUGAGACACGGCCCAAACUCCUACGGGAGGCAGCAGUAGGGAAUCUUCCGCAAUGGACGAAAGUCUGACGGAGCAACGCCGCGUGAGUGAAGAAGGUUUUUCGGAUCGUAAAACUCUGUUGUCAGAGAAGAACAAGUUGGAGAGUAACUGCUCCAGCCUUGACGGUAUCUGACCAGAAAGCCACGGCUAACUACGUGCCAGCAGCCGC